rnacentral:misc_RNA from 1 species
UUUAUUAAUUGUGCAUCUCACCUCUCCUGUGCCUAGGCUCCAAGACCCCUUUGAGCCGUAAGGCAACUUUAAUGAACUAUGGGCACAAAAAAUUCAAAGGUUCAGAAUCUUCAAACUUUUCUGUUAUUUCACAAACAAUUUCAUAGGAGUCCCAUAUUUAUUCUUGUUUCCUGAAAUGCUUAUGAAAAAUGAACUCAUUGAUCAAUUAACAUCAAAUUUGACUAAACUUUUUCCUACAUACGUUUUUUGACAUAAUUAUAGUGCAGAUAUACAACAAAAAAGCCAUAAAUAGUCAAGCCUGAUUUGGUUCAUCUUGUUUUCAUUCUUAAUCAUACCAGUGACAAUCACUAAAGUCUCAAACUUAUUAUCCAUCCUUUUAUCACUUAUCUAUAGCUGUUAAAUCUAUACAAAUCCAUUUAAUCAAACUUUACUGAUAUUUCAUUUAUUUAUCUAUGACUUCCACCCAACACUUCUUAUCUGUCCUACUUUGAUGUUAUUAAAACAACUCAAUAAUGAUUAGGAAACAUCUUUUUUAUUUUUCCCUUAAUGUAUCACCUUUUAUAACAUUCUUAUUUUUAUUUUUAUUCCUUUAUCAUGGCCUCUUCAGUAAUAAUUCACAUGAUAAUGCUAUCUGCUAACCUUCUUAGGGUCAAGGGCAGGCCACAACCACAAGCAUGUCUUAAAAAAAAAAAAAAAUCAUAGCAAAUCCAAGUAACGGAAACAAAAGUCAUGUCAUG